CUUGAGUGAGACCACAAAGUUCUUCACGGGCUUCUCCCAACUAUCUGCGUCUAAUCGCGACGCGAACACAAGAUAACCCACUUAAUGGUCCACCGUUGUGCGUACCGGUUGUGCUAAAAGACUGCUGACUCUCCUGAUAAUCUGAAACCAACCGGGAAAGAGCUUGGAGUCUUGGAGUCCAGAUUAAAGGCUUUUGGAAGUUAAACCAUGGACUGAUUUGAAGGUGAGCAGUUGCUCGGCUGCCAAGAGCCAAGAGAUUAGCGUUUCUGGUUCAUUAUGGUCCUCAAGCUCGGUUUCGAUGGUUUGGAGGUAACCCCGAGUGUGCUUUUGAGUGCCUUCUCAAUCGCAGCCAAAGAUUUUCCACCCAAUCAUUGCGAAUGACCAUGCUUGGCCAUUCUCAUCCCCGCAGGAGUUUUAGACAAGACCAUAUGUGGAUCGUGUCCGUUGGUGCAGGUUCGCUUUGUUUAUUCCACCUUUCAUUCACUGGGAUCUACAACGCCGCGGAACGGUGUUCAGAAAACAGGCCGCGGAUCAGAAGAGUCGAGCUGUCUGUGGGUACGUGCACUGGGCUGGCAGGAUUCCCGACAGCAUGAGUGGAGGAACCUCAACGCUCACAGCCUCAAUCACCAAACCUACGAGCUCAACUCAAGAUGUCUUACUCGAAAGUGCUGGUGCAAUUGUUGCUGCUGUGGUUGUUGGUGUGACUCUCCUCUUUGGCAUCAUCGUCGCUAUCCUCAUAAAGAUAAGAAAACCGGAGAAUGAAAUAAUGGGUCGAACAAGACACAGUGGGAUGAUAAUGCGGAGAUCCAAAAGAACUCAACGUUAUGCAUUCCCCAUGAAGUCUCCAUACUACAUCGCUCGAAGUCAACCUGUGCCUGCAGAAGCUUCGGCACCAUCCCACCUGGACUCAGAGAAUGACACAAACCCUGAUAGUCCUCCGACUUCCUCCUCAAACGGCAUCAGUGUGAACCACGUGCGCUCCAGCGUUAAAAGUUCUACAAACUCCGUGAUGCUGCCACUCAUGGCUUCCAGCACCGUGGAAAUCCUCCUGACUCCAAUAGAUCACACGGAACAUUCCCAAGCCAUGGGCAAAUCGAGACAGAACUGGCCACAGGCCCACAGGGAAGGUUUUGGGUGCUGUUCUAAUGAGCAGACCUCAUUGUGAGUGUUGCACAAGAAUGGACGACCUGUUACUGUUUAAGGUGACAAACUCUUUUUUUUUCUUUUCAAAAUGUCAGAAUGCAUUCUCUCUCUUCAUUCCCUCAUUCUCCAUCUCUCUCCAUCUCUCUCUCUCUCUCUCUCUCUCUCUGGUGCAAGUUCAGUGCUGCCAAAGCAGCUGAUCAGGUGGUUUGUUGGUUGCAUUCCCAAAUGUUGCCAAGUAAGUAAUUUAUAAUGUUUUUCAGGGUGCCAGCGAUAACUUUCCUACUUUGCAAAAGACACUAAGGGAUAUUUAAUGGACAGUAUCCACUAACUAUGUGGCAUCUGAACUCCGUACUUGUUCAAAAGACUCUUACUUCAAUUUUUAUUUAUUUAAAUUUUUCCUUUCAAGAGGUAUAAUUACAGGUUGUUGUGUUCAAUCAUUUUGCAUAGUCGUUGAUGUGAGAGGCAUUUGCAACUCGAGGUAGUUGAGUUCGCACAUGGAAGGAAAUGUAGGUUAGCUGGCAUGUUCCGCAAAUGUGGUUUUACUGGCACUCGGUACAGGCAGUGUGAUGGCUCACCUUCCUUUACGGUCAUCUAAAUAACGAUGCUUUGAAUUAAUUUUAAAAUUGUCACAGUCCAUGGUCAAGCGUUCAUUGUAAUCUUCUGUAUUUUUUUUAUAAGAGAAUCUAGGAAUGUGGAUAAAAAAAAAUGUAUCCAAGAGGUCGACAAGCAUUUUGUGACAGCUACUUACAAGUAAAGGAGGUGUUGUUGUACUAAAAAUGUAACCGCUCGAGAGAGAUUUGCAAAAUGAAAAUCCAUCCCCAUGAACUGCAAUGCACCUGGCAUCGGAGGGCAAGACAGAAAGGUCAACUGAUGGGUCAGCUCGGUCGAUGUACGUAACAUAUUUAAGCAUUGAAUCGCUCUUUUAAAUUAUUCAAGGAUUUCCGAAACGAGCUCUUCUUGCACCAAUAUAUCAAGUGAAUUUACAAGGUGUUAUAGAAGUGGGAUUUAUAUAGUGGCAUCUUUCGCACAAUUAUGUAAUACACUGUUACAUGGAAGGGGGUUGGCAGGAUCCAUAGCUAGAUUGUUCUAAGAAUAGUAUGGUUGGUGACCCGAUGUGUUUCGAGUAGCUUAGAUUGCCAUUAUCAGAGACCUGUCAAGAGUAAGUCGCCUUGUCUCACAUCAAGUUGUGAGGUCUGGUAAAGAGAGGAGGUGGCACCCUCUUGAGUCUACUCCUGCACAAAGAACGGGGUGUAUUUUAACGUGUGACGUCACUAAAUUAUUUAUUCGGAUAUCAAUUCACGAAAAGGGCAUCAUGGCGUUUUCAAAGGGAAAAGCAACAUCAUGCCGAGCCGAUCAGUCUCUCUGGCCCCAUGUGAGCCAGUUUGGGUUAGAGUUUAAACCCAAACUGAUGCUCCUAAUAGUACGACUGGAAUCGAAGAAUUGGCAAUUCAUGCUUGACCGACAAGCCGGGGUUCAACUCGCAUAGGCUGACCUCGUUCUAAGCCAUGAAUCAUAGUGGAAAUUGAUGAUAAAUACACAACCAGCACCUCAACAGAAACGUACCCAAAUCACCUGUGUUGGACCCCACUCCCCUCCCCUCAUCUCCCCAACCACCCCCACCCUGACUGAAGAACGGAUAAUAUUACCUUUCGAGGUGUUUUUUCUCAACUCGAGUUUGAUCAAACACAAAGAAAACGUUGUACAUGAAAGGUGAUCUGGUCGGAUAGAGAGGAAAAAACAUCCAGACUUAGCUCGGCUGCAGGUACAGAGGGAUACUGUGUCUGCGAUUCAUAUUCAUGGACUCAGCGGGUUCGGUUCAUGUGCAGGGUCCACAAUAGGUUUAAUGGACUAAAGACAUAGCAGUCAUACUGAGCCCCUUAAAGCAUAAACUUGAAUAUUACAGGGUGUCCCAAAAGUCAGCAAGGGAUUUAGAAAUUAAAUAACAUUUCUGUUUUUUAAUAAUUUGUUUUACUUUUCUUUUCAGAAUUUAGAUUAACAUUUGGAAAUUACCCAUGAAAAAAUUCACAACUGAAUAAAGAACCAAAAUCGUGGAAUUUUAUUUUAAAUUUCAUCGAUCAAUUAAUCUCACCCAAAGAGCAUGGACACCGAAUAACUUCACGAAAUUCAGAAAUUUCUUGGCCAUCACGUUCUCCUGAUUUGAUGCCUCCUG
rnacentral:lncRNA from 1 species